ACAGGCAGCAGUGAGGAAAGGCUGGGGAACCGUCUGCCCCCUCCCAGCAGCUCUGCAGGACGGCUCUGGGCUCGGGGAAAUCCAUCUUGGACCUGGCUGGGCUUGCUUAUGAAGUACAAUCUGUCUGAAGUAGCCACGAUGAGGAAGAGACCUGGCAGCAGAAGGGAUGUUACAGAUGAAGCAGCUGAUUAAAGCCCAUCCUGUACCUUCAGAAUGAUUUUUGUGGACAUGGUAAAGAGGAAAAGCAUGCAGCUUAAUGUUUGCUAAAAAUAAAUGCUUGAGAGGGAAAGAAAAAUCA
ensembl:lncRNA